rnacentral:rRNA from 1 species
CGACGCCGCGUGAGGGAUGAAGGCCUUCGGGUUGUAAACCUCUUUCAGCAGGGAAGAAGCGAAAGUGACGGUACCUGCAGAAGAAGCGCCGGCUAACUACGUGCCAGCAGCCGCGGUAAUACGUAGGGCGCAAGCGUUGUCCGGAAUUAUUGGGCGUAAAGAGCUCGUAGGCGGUUUGUCGCGUCUGGUGUGAAAACUCAAGGCUCAACCUUGAGCUUGCAUCGGGUACGGGCAGACUAGAGUGCGGUAGGGGAGACUGGAAUUCCUGGUGUAGCGGUGGAAUGCGCAGAUAUCAGGAGGAACACCGAUGGCGAAGGCAGGUCUCUGGGCCGCAACUGACGCUGAGGAGCGAAAGCAUGGGGAGCGAACAGGAUUAGAUACCCUGGUAGUCCAUGCCGUAAACGUUGGGCACUAGGUGUGGGGCUCAUUCCACGAGUUCCGUGCCGCAGCAAACGCAUUAAGUGCCCCGCCUGGGGAGUACGGCCGCAAGGCUA